rnacentral:tRNA from 1 species
GCGUCGAUAGUGUAGAGGUUAUCAUGUGAGCCUUCCAAGCUUGAGAUCCGGGUUCGAUUCCCGGUCGACGCACAA